ensembl:lncRNA
ACUGCACAUUCCAGCCACUCUCAGAGGUUCUCACUGUGUGUUAGUCCCCAAAACAAGACCUGUGGGAACAUUGCAUGGACACCACAGUGGACAUCAAAAUGCAGAAGGGACCAAGAAUAUUUCAGAAUAAUACGAGUUAAUUCCAUGUAAGGCUGUCACUGCAUCUCCUGAGACCCUAGGAGUUGACCCGAGGGCUGCAGAACCAGAGAUAGGGGCGCAGCUACUGGAAGCAUGUCCCCACACUAUGACUAUAACUGGAGGAACCCAAAGGUUGCUCUUCAUACCUCUUCUUUGCCCCCGUGUCAUCCAGAGUCACUGCAGAGGCUGCCUGGCAGGAGUCCCUCAAGUGGAUCCAACUGCCACUAAUAACAAAAAGCUCUGUAACCUAGCAAGGCCUGGUGUCCAAUGGGGGACUGACAACUGCAGCAGAGACUGCUUGGGGCCAGAAGACAAAAGGAGAGGUCCUGUCCCAGGAGACUGUGGGAAAGGCAACCAGAAAGGAGGGAGCUGGAGAAUGAGUACUUCGUCUCAUGUGUCUACCUUCACCUCUUGAGCAUCUCUGCAACUAAUAGAGGACAAGGGACCCAUCAAUGUCUAUGCCAGCCACCCCUGGAGCUGAGAACAAAUUUAGAAGAUACCAAAUGUCCUGACCACACAUAUCAUUGUCCUCUAUUUCCUGUUGUCAUUUUCCCCUUACAAUCUUCCCUACAAGAGACAACGCAUCUGUAACAUAAAACCAACUACAGAUCUAAAUUCCAUCACUGGAAAUUCUAUGGUUAGAGCAUUCUCCCCAUUUAAGCUGAGUAACAGUAGCUCAUUUCCAGGAUUUCCUAACCAAGAACAUCACAGCCCUCAGGCUCAUGAUUAGGCUACCAGACCUCCAAGCUGCAGCCACCUGUUCUGAUGGGCACAGCACCCAGGUGUUCUCUCCAAGCUUCAUCUGCAGUGUCCAUAGGGAACAGCCUUGCGGUCUGCACAGAAAGGUGUUUAGUUGUUCAAGGAAUCCAGUAAAAAAAGAUCUAUGGCUCCUGUCAAGAAUUCAAAACCAGUGGCCCUCUGUCCUCUUUGGACCAGUCAACCCUCAGAGAUAAGAGUGGCCCUGAGGUGCCAAGACAGCUUUCACACUCAACAGAGCUUUGGGCAGGAAGUUGUCUGAAAAGCCAGCAGGUAAAUCAUACACUGCGCACCACAAUUACCGAGGCCAGCCCAAAGAAGAGUUUAACAAGCAAAUGUAGGAAACAGGCAGAGACUCCCAGCCACUAUCUAGCUCUUCUGCUGAUGCCUAAGGAGAUUAGAAUGGCAACUUCCCCAGGCUUUUGUUUUAGUCUUUUGCUUAAUAUUAUAAUCACUUUUAUUGAGGCAUGAUUUCUAUGCAUGUAAAUUCAAUAAUUUUAAAUGUGAAGUUCAAUGAAUUUGACAAACAUAUGCCAUUAUUUAACCACUACCACACUCAAGAUACAGAAGAGCUCCAUUCUCAAAAAUAGUUCUCUCUCAUCCCCUUUGCUGUGAAUCCUCCCCUACCCAACCCCCUCCACCUAGGCUUUAUCUCAUCAUAACUUUGCCUUUUCCAGAAUUCCAUAUAAUUGGAAUAAUUAAGUAUGCAGUCAUUAUAGUUUUUGUUCAUUGAAAAUAACAGUACUGAGAUUCAUUCACACAGGUAUACGAGUACAUCUUCUUAAUGUGUAGCUGAGGGGUCCUCAACUUCCAGGCCACAGAGAAGUGCCAGUCUGUGGCCUGUUGUGGUGAGUGAGCAAGUGAAGCUUAAUAUGUAUUUACAGCUGUUCCUCCUCACUAACAUUACCACCUGAGCUCCACUUCCUGUCAGAUCAACAGCAGCAUUAGAUCCUUAUAGGAGCACAAAACUUACUGUGAACUGAACAUACAAGGGAUCUAAGUUGUGUGCUUUUUAUGAGAAUCUAAUGUGGGAUGAUUUGAGGUGGAGCUGAGGCAGUGAUACUAGCACUAAGAAAUGGCUACAAAUACAGAUUAACAUUAGCAGAGAGGUGUAACCGCACAAAGACUAUAAUAAAUCAAGUGUGUGCAGACUCAUAUCAAAACCCUAUCAGUAAGUAACAAGUGACAACUAAACUGCAUCUCAUGGAAGGCUCUCUAGUCUGCCAACAAGCUUUAAGUCAAAAUGUGACACUUACUUGAGUCUGCAGGUGGCUUUCCUAUUAUUUAAUUUACCUCUGCCAAUCAUGUCUCCGUCCCAUACUGCACUUUUGUCUCCAUCACAGUUUUGGUAAGCCCAUAAGCUAACCCUAGCCAAAAUGAGUAAAAAACAAAAAUCACUGGAAAGCUUCCAUGAAAAGGGUGGGAAGACUCAAUGAUGAGAUACCAGAAGACUCUAAGAAUACCAACAAGAAGAAAGUGACAUUUAAAAGAAAAUGCCAAGAGUACUACUUAAUUAUGGGUUCAUUGUAAAAUGUGAUGUACAUUCUCCAAACCUGCUUUGUACAGUAUGUGGCAACCAGCUAUUUAACAGAGCCGUGACCUUCAAAACUGCUCCAUGACAUGGAGACCAAGUACCUUGCAUUAAAAGACAAGCCUUUGGGUUUUUUCUGAAAAAAUAUAUGAACACAAAGAACACAGGCAGGUAUUAAAGUCUAUCAUUUCAUUAAAUGCGUCUAUGUUGAGAGCAUCCUUCUUAGUGGUUAACUGCAGUGCUAAAACUAAGAAUCCCUUUAUUAUUGGUGAACAGUUGAUCCUGCCUGCUCCUAAGGACAUUUGUCAUGAAAUUUUAGGAGAGGCUGUAGUUCAAAAGGUAGCAUUUGUUUCUCUUUUGGUUAACACCAUAACUAGAUUGAUAAAUUAAUUGAUAAAACAGCAGAGGACAUUGAGGCACAAUUGUUAGAAUGCUUUAAUGAGUUACUAAGGUAUGCAAACAAGGUUGACAACAAUACUCAUUUUUGUGUGAUAUAUUUUUCAUGAAAAUGUGCAUGAGGAUAUGUCAUGUACAGUUUUGUUGUCAACCAACACCACAGAUACAGAAUUAUUCAAGUCUUUGAAUGAUUACAUAUCAGAAACACUGAAUUGGUUGUGGAUGCACAGCUGCCAUGACUGGAUAGCUUUCUUGUUUCACUACUCAGGUCAAAGAGGGUAACUUCUGAAUGUGAAACUAUGUACUUUUUAUUUACAGAGAAAUGCUAUCUAGCAAAGAAAAUGUCACCUGAACUUAACAACAUUUUCUAAGAUAUGAUUAAAAUUAACCACAUGAAAGCACAUGCCCUCAAUUGAUAUCACAGCUCUGUGAGGAGGUGGACACAGAAC